rnacentral:tRNA from 1 species
GCCGAAGUGGUGGAAUGGCAGACGCGCUGGACUCAAAAUCCAGUGUACGAGAGUACGUGCGGGUUCGAGUCCCGCCUUCGGCACCA